rnacentral:rRNA from 1 species
UAACCUGCCUUAUAGUGGGGGAUAGCCUUUCGAAAGGAAGAUUUAAUACCGCAUAAGAUUGUAGUAUCGCAUGAUAUAGCAAUUAAAGGAGCAAUUCGCUAUAAGAUGGACCCGCGUCGCAUUAGCUAGUUGGUGAGGUAAUGGCUCACCAAGGCGACGAUGCGUAGCCGACCUGAGAGGGUGAUCGGCCACAUUGGGACUGAGACACGGCCCAGACUCCUACGGGAGGCAGCAUG